rnacentral:rRNA from 1 species
AACGAACGCUGGCGGCGUGCCUAACACAUGCAAGUCGAACGCGAAAGGGGGCAACCCCCGGUAGCGUGGCAGACGGGUGAGUAACACGUGGGUAACCUACCCGGAGGUGGGGGAUAACCCUUCGAAAGGAGGGCUAAUACCGCAUGACAUCGCGGGGACUUCGGUCCUUGCGAUCAAAGCUGGCCUCUGUUUACAAGCUAGCGCCACCGGAGGGGCCCGCGCCCCAUUAGCUAGUUGGUGAGGUAACGGCUCACCAAGGCGACGAUGGGUAGCCGGCCUGAGAGGGCGAUCGGCCACACUGGAACUGCGACACGGUCCAGACUCCUACGGGAGGCAGCAGUGAGGAAUAUUGCGCAAUGGGCGAAAGCCUGACGCAGCGACGCCGCGUGGAGGAUGAAGGUCUUCGGAUUGUAAACUCCUGUCGAGUGGGACGAAUGCCGUGAGGGUGAACACCCCUCGCGGUUGACGGUACCGCUGGAGGAAGCCCCGGCUAACUCCGUGCCAGCAGCCGCGGUAAAAC